UGCGGGUUGAUGUAACGGCAACAUAACUGACUCAUGACCAGUUUUUAAAGGUUCAAAUCCUUUGCCCGCAC
rnacentral:tRNA from 1 species